UACGUAGGGUGCAAGCGUUAAUCGGAAUUACUGGGCGUAAAGCGUGCGCAGGCGGUUAUGUAAGACAGUUGUGAAAUCCCCGGGCUCAACCUGGGAAUUGCAUCUGUGACUGCAUAGCUAGAGUACGGUAGAGGGGGGAUGGAAUUCCGCGUGUAGCAGUGAAAUGCGUAGAUAUGCGGAGGAACACCGAUGGCGAAGGCAAUCCCCCUGGACCUGUACUGACGCUCAUGCACGAAAGCGUGGGGAGCAAACGAGG
rnacentral:rRNA from 1 species